ACUAGUGCUAUGCUCACGGUAACGCGACAUUUUUAGGAAUUAAAUGUACGGAAACCUACAAAAAUAACAAAGAAAAAAAAUCGACAUUAAAAGAAAAAAGUAAAGAGAUUAGAGAAUACUGUACAGUUGUUUAUAUUUUGGCCAAGGGAGCUGACACACAAGUAAUGCAGUCAUUAAAUAAGACAUAUCAGGUGUGAGUUAUGUAUACUGGAGAAGGAGACGUCAUGAGAUGUGACCUUUCCGCAUAACUCCCGAUAUACCUACCUAGUUUUACAGUGAACUGCUAAAAUACAAACUGACAAAGAAGAUCAAAGGUUGCUUUGGAAAGUUCAAUAUGCAAUUUGCAUAUGAGUAAAAUUUGCAUACGACUAAAUAAACGAUUAUUCGAAUAAUAAUCAUGAUUAUGAAAAUGGAAGUGAACAAAAUGAAAUGCUUAUGGAAAACCUUUCAACGUCUUUCAAUGAUGGCAGGUGAAUGAAACAUAUUGUAGUUCAUUGUAGGAUAUAAAUAAUAUAACCACUUGCUUAUUGGGAAAUUUGUGAAGCCAUGGCACUGUGGACGAUAGAGUAUUGCAUGUUUGCCUACGACAGUUACAUGAAGAGUGACGAGUCUGUCAGCAGUUCAACAUGAGUUUCGGCACCACUUCAACAUUCACCAAAUUCAGGCUGUUUUCACCCAUAACACCUUCUUACGUUGGGUGAAUGCACUUCGUACAUGAGGUACAUUAAUGAAUAGGAGACUUGUUGGGGCACCACGAACAGUACAACCCCGGAAAAUGUGAAACACAUCAGACCAGCUUUGUUACGAAGUCCGAAUUGCUCUGCUUGGAGGUAUUCCACUGAGCUUGGUAUAGGUAAUUGAUCAGUGAGGCGUAUUUUGAAUGAAGACCUGCAUUUCCACCUGUACAAAUUGGUCAUUGGGCAACAGUUGAAACUAUGGGACUAUGCACAGCGGCUUAACUUUGGAUGUCAAAUGGAAGCAAUUUUUUAGGCAAAUGACAACCUCAUUUUUGUCAAUAAGUGAUGAAGCACAUUAUCAUCUCAACAUCAUGGUGAAUCAACAGAACUGUCAUUAUUAGGCUCUUGAAAAUCCAAGAGAACUGCACGAAAGACCACUGCACAGCCCAAAAGUGACAGUCUGGUGUGCUGUUGGAAAAGCUGCCGUCAUUGGUCCUUACUUUUUUUAAGGCAAUAAUGGAAAUGCCAUUACUGUGAACUCCAGGCAUUACAUUGAGAUGAUAAAAAACUUCUUUGUGCUUGAAUUACUAUGAAAAUGUAUGCCUAUUUGAAGUGUGUGGUUUCAGCAGGAUGGGGCAAUGGCCCACAAAGCCAGAGCAUCAAUGGACAUUCUUCUCCCUAUCUUCAGUGACUGCCUCAUUUUCAUGUUGGCUGACAUUCCUUGACCCCCCCCCCCCCUGGGUCCCUUGAUUUGUCCACGUGUGAUUAUUUCUUGUGGGGAAGCCUCAAGGCACAUGUGUAUGUACAUAAGCCCUGUACAUUGGGCGAUUUGAAGGAAGCUAUUCAUGUGGGAAUCACCCAAAUCAACAGAGCAAUGCUGUUGAGAGUGAAGACCAACUUCCAAGAACGCCAUCAGAAAUGCAUCAAUGAAAAGGGAUAUCACAUGAUGAAUGUUGUUUUUUGCACUUGAUUUUGACAAAUGCUAAUUCAAUGCAAACUCAUUGAUGUCAAUAAAAUUUGUU